rnacentral:piRNA from 1 species
UGACGUGAUGAUGAUGGACUGAAUCCCUU